UACGUAGGGGGCAAGCGUUGUCCGGAUUUAUUGGGCGUAAAGAGCGUGUAGGCGGCCGCACAGGUCCGUUGUGAAAACUGGAGGCUUAACCUCCAGACGUCGACGGAAACCGUGUGGCUAGAGUCCGGAAGAGGAGAGUGGAAUUCCUGGUGUAGCGGUGAAAUGCGCAGAUAUCAGGAAGAACACCAAUGGCGAAGGCAGCUCUCUGGGACGGUACUGACGCUGAGACGCGAAAGCCAGGGGAGCAAACGGG
rnacentral:rRNA from 1 species